rnacentral:rRNA from 1 species
GAUGAACGCUGGCGGCGUGCUUAACACAUGCAAGUCGAGCGAGAAGUUUUGAAAAGCUUCUUCGGAUGAAAUUUAAAAUGGAAAGCGGCGGACGGGUGAGUAACGCGUAGGCAACCUGCCCAUUCAAAGGGAUAGGAUUUUGAAACGGAUAAUAAUACCCUAUUAAGCUUAACUAGGUCAUUCUUGGUAGGGUCAAGAUUUAUCGGUAUGGGAUGGGCCUGCGUCUGAUUAGCUAGUUGGUGAGGUAACGGCUCACCAAGGCGACGAUCAGUAGCCGACCUGAGAGGGUGAACGGCCACAUUGGAACUGAGACACGGUCCAAACUCCUACGGGAGGCAGCAGUGGGGAAUAUUGCACAAUGGGGGAAACCCUGAUGCAGCAACGCCGCGUGAACGAUGGAGGCCUUUGGGUCGUAAAGUUCUGUUCUAGGUGAUGAAAACUGACAGUAACCUAGGAGAAAGCCCCGGCUAACUCCGUG